AUCCCAUGAUAAGGACACUUAAGAAGUAACUCAUUGAAUCAUUCUCAAGCCUCAUACAAAGACUCGUCAUCCAAUUGUUGGAAAGUUGUGAUAUCGUUCCUUAACUU
rnacentral:snoRNA from 1 species